AAGUUCGAAGAUGGCGCCGCCUGUCUGGUCGCGGUCUUAUGACGAAAUCUUGUUAGCUGCUCUUCACUGACGCCCCCACCCCAGUGCACAAGAGAUGGGGUCUCGUUAUGUUGACCAGGCUGGUCUUGAACACCUGACCUGAAGUGAUCCUCUUGCCUCAGCCUCCCAUAGUGCUGCGAUCACAGGUCCUGCCGAGUGCCUGCGAUUGCAGGCACGCGCUGCCACGCCUGACUGGUUUUGGUGGAGACGGGGUUUCGCUGUGUUGGCCGGGCCGGUCUCCAGCCCCUAACCGCGAGUGAUCCGCCAGCCUCGGCCUCCCGAGGUGCCGGGAUUGCAGACGGAGUCUCGUUCACUCAGUGCUCAAUGGUGCCCAGGCUGGAGUGCAGUGGCGUGAUCUCGGCUCGCUACAACCUACACCUCCCAGCCGCCUGCCUUGGCCUCCCAAAGUGCCGAGAUUGCAGCCUCUGCCCAGCCGCCACCCCGUCUGGGAAGUGAGGAGUGUCUCUGCCUGGCCGCCCAUCGUCUGGGAUGUGAGGAGCCCCUCUGCCUGGCUGCCCAGUCUGGAAAGUGAGGAGCGUCUCCGCCCGGCCGCCAUCCCAUCUAGGAAGUGAGGAGUGCCUCUUCCCAGCCGCCAUCACAUCUAGGAAGUGAGGAGCGUCUCUGCCCGGCCGCCCAUCGUCUGAGAUGUGGGGAGCGCCUCUGCCCCGCCGCCCCAUCUGGGAUGUGAGGAGCGCCUCUGCCCGGCCGCGACCCCGUCUGGGAGGUGCAUGCCUUCCUUAUUUCUCAUACUCAUCACCUCCUCUUCCCGCUUGGAACUGCCCACACUGGUGAUUUCCUUGUUAAGGAACUUGAUGGCGUUGUGCAUGCUCGCUGACAGGGGACGGCACUGAGUCAGGAAGCUAUAAUACAACAGCAAUACCUUAUAUCUGCGCAACUCUUCACAACUUACAAAGCCUUCACAUUUAAAAAAAAAGUCUUUAAAAAGAAAAUAGAACACAAAAUGAAAAGAGAGAUAGAAAAGCAGGAAAAAGAGUACAAGACAAAGAUUGGGCGAGCUGGGAGUGGACUUAUAGUGUUGUCCCUACCUCAUGUAGGGUUUUAGUUUAUUCACUAGAUCCCUGGAGAGUUCUUCAUUAGGCGGUGUUGUGUAAUCCUGAAUCACCUAUAGGGUACACAAGGUGAUCUGCAAAAUACCCCUUAAUAAAGAUCUCUGAACGGGG
rnacentral:lncRNA from 1 species